UACGGAGGGGGCGAGCGUUAUUCGGAAUUAUUGGGCGUAAAGGGCAGGUAGGCGGCUUCGUGUGUCCCUUGUGAAAGCCCUCGGCUCAACCGAGGAAUCGCAAAGGAAACUACGGAGCUUGAGUCCGGGAGAGGAGAGUGGAAUUCCCAGUGUAGCGGUGAAAUGCGUAGAUAUUGGGAGGAACACCGGUGGCGAAGGCGGCUCUCUGGACCGGUACUGACGCUGAGCUGCGAAAGCCAGGGGAGCAAACGGG
rnacentral:rRNA from 1 species